CAGCACCUCAAGUGGUCAGGAUGAUUAUUGGGCCUAAAGCAUCCGUAGCCGGCUCUGUAAGUUUUCGGUUAAAUCUGUAUGCUCAACAUACAGGCUGCCGGGAAUACUGCAGAGCUAGGGAGUGGGAGAGGUAGACGGUACUCGGUAGGAAGGGGUAAAAUCCUUUGAUCUAUUGAUGACCACCUGUGGCGAAGGCGGUCUACCAGAACACGUCCGACGGUGAGGGAUGAAAGCUGGGGGAGCAAACCGGAUUAGAGACCCCCGUAGUCC
rnacentral:rRNA from 1 species